ACGAGUUUGAUCAUGGCUCAGAUUGAACGCUGGCGGCAUGCCUUACACAUGCAAGUCGAACGGUAACGCGGGGCAACCUGGCGACGAGUGGCGAACGGGUGAGUAAUAUAUCGGAACGUGCCCAGUAGUGGGGGAUAGCCCGGCGAAAGCCGGAUUAAUACCGCAUGAGACCUGAGGGUGAAAGCGGGGGAUCGCAAGACCUCGCGCUAUUGGAGCGGCCGAUAUCAGAUUAGGUAGUUGGUGGGGUAAAGGCCUACCAAGCCGACGAUCUGUAGCUGGUCUGAGAGGACGACCAGCCACACUGGGACUGAGACACGGCCCAGACUCCUACGGGAGGCAGCAGUGGGGAAUUUUGGACAAUGGGCGCAAGCCUGAUCCAGCCAUGCCGCGUGCGGGAAGAAGGCCUUCGGGUUGUAAACCGCUUUUGUCAGGGAAGAAAUCUUCUGGGCUAAUACCUCGGGAGGAUGACGGUACCUGAAGAAUAAGCACCGGCUAACUACGUG
rnacentral:rRNA from 1 species